UGUGUGUGUGUGUGUGUGUGUUGGUUUUUGUGGUUUACAAGGACUUUUGACCUGAAUACGUACCAGCAUUACAAGGACAUUUGGGUUUAUGAGGACAGGGACCAUGUCCUUAUAAUUCCGACAGUGUAUAUGCCUUUCUCUAUGUCCCAGAAGUUCCCUCUCAAAUUUUCGCGCUAUGUCCUAACAUACCACAAAACCAUGAAAUUUUACUAUACACAGUGUAUCCUCUGAGCUCGUGAGUGCGCCCCUGCAGCCCGGACGCGGUACUACAACUACGUCUUCGAAAAUUUGCAUAUUUUACGCUUGUGUAAGUUUGGAGGGCGCUGAUUGGCUAAUCGCGAAAACAAGAUGGCGCCGGUGGGCGUGGUUACAAUUUGCCGAAAUUUUUAACUUUGAAGAAAGCGAGCGUGACGUUUUGUAACUUCCUGUUUGAUCCUGACGGAAUCUCUGCACCUAGAGAAGACACCUGUGAUGUGAACCUGUUUGAGACGACCAUUAUAUGAAAGCAGACACAUCAAAUGAUGGCUGAAGUGAAAAGGAGAAGGAGAAAACUGAAGCCAGUUGAUGAGGCCAUACAGUUUUCACUACUACAGAAAGACAAAUCUGGUCUUGAAGGAGGAUUCAUCAAUGAUUU